UUUUAGCAACAGGAGCCAAACUUGGAUUCACCCUGAUAAAGCAGACAUUUGGGACUUCAUGUGAUCUAAUUGCUCUGAGCUGUUCCUUAAUCCCCAAUCGCUAAACCUUUGCAUCGUUGCCCACAAUGGCAUAAACUACCUUGAUCCAGGAUUGCAAAAUGGUCCACCCAACAAAGAAGCCUCAUAAUUGUUGAUGUGGCUGAGAUUCUCUAAUGCACCCUCCCUUGUUUUUAUUUGUUGUUCUAAGAAUUAUUUAAGUAAAAGAACAAAGCAAAUCUUAAACUUGUCUCUGUGAUAAGGUGAACCUCGGAAGGCGAAGUCCAUUUCUUCAUUCAUCUCUGCAUUCACAGCAACAGCCAUCGCUGUGAGAAGAGCACAUCCUAGCAGAACCCGUGAUGGAGAGGAGGUUGCCCUGCAGUGAAACAGAGCUGCCCCAGCUGCCCAGCCUGCUGUGGAGCCUGCAGCCCAG
rnacentral:lncRNA from 10 species